GAUGAAGAACGUAGCGAAAUGCGAUAAGUAAUGCGAAUUGCAGAAUUCCAGUGAAUCAUCGAAUCUUUGAACGCACAUUGCGCCCCUUGGUAUUCCAUGGGGCAUGCCUGUUCGAGCGUCAUUUGUACCUUCAAGCUUUGCUUGGUGUUGGGUGUUUGUCUCGCCUUUGCGUGUAGACUCGCCUUAAAAUAAUUGGCAGCCGGCGUAUUGAUUUCGGAGCGCAGUACAUCUCGCGCUUUGCACUCAUAACGACAGCGUCCAAAAGUACAUUUUACACUCUUGACCUCGGAUCAGGUAGGGAUACCCGCUGAACUUAAGCAUAUCAAUAAGCGGAGGA
rnacentral:misc_RNA from 1 species